CAAGCUUGAAGCUACUUAAAAAGAGUAAAUCAUCAAUCAAAUUCAUUUAGUUAAGAUGAGCAAGUUCGUUGGUGUGUUCCUGCUGCUUUUGAUCACUGUGACCGUUGCUGAAUACGACCACAGUUAUCCUGAACAUGAAAACGAGAAAAAUGGUCCAUGCGGUAAGUUUAGCACACUUAGAAUUUUGACGCAUAAACUGCGUCACUGCGAAAAGGCUGCACGAAAUGCAUGGGCUCCUGUUUCUUCACAGUGCUGCAAUGACCUUGUAGAAGUAAGCAUCCCUUGCCUCUAUGCUGUUUUCUCCUCCGAUGCUUUCAAGAGAGUUGGUGUUGAUCCCAGAGUCGCAAUCACCAUUCCCCAUCGUUGCCAUUUCGCCAACAAGCCAUAGACCACAACUUUCCUACCUAUCAUAAAUUCCAACAUAUUUUUCAGCUUGUAGAUGGCUGGGAACGUUGGUUAUGGUUACGCAACCUGAGGUUUUUACAAUUCGUCAAAGCUUCAGGAUACAGUAGUGUGUGUUGUGUAUUGUAUGUUGUCAGUUAAUAAUUUGAGCUCCUUAACUAUAAAGGCUCAUAAAUAAGUUACAAUUAAUAUUGUAACAACUUUAUUAUUAUCUAUCAAAUAACUUCUAUGUCUUCCUGAAUAAUAUCCUUUUGGUUGUUUUAUGACAAUAAUUUAUAUAUAUAGAUGUUCGCGAUAUGGGUUCUUGGCCUAGCUGCAUAAAAUUAACUAUAUGUGAUCUUGUUCAUCAUUGACAGUUAA